UUUCGCUUGGAGGAGGGUGGUGACGGUGACUUGGGGCGGGGCUGUGUUUGGCAGCGAUUGCAGCCAAGCACUUGCUUGAGCCACAGGCCUGGAAUUGAAAAGAGCGGGUGACGGGGCUGUGUUUGGCAGCCAGUAUGGCCAGGCGUUUGCUUGGGCUGCAGGCCCGAAGCUGGGAUGAGCGAGAGGCGGGGCUGUGUUAGGUGGCCAGUUCAGCCAAACGUUAGCGUGAGCCACGGGCUCGGAGCUGGGAGGAACGGGAGGUGGUGCUGUAUUUGCUGACCAGUUUGGCCAAGCGCUUGCACGUAUGUGACAGGCUGUUCGACCAAGCGCUAGCUUGAGCCUCGGGCACGAUGCUGGAAGGAGCGGGAGGUGGUGCUGUAUUUGCUGACCAGUUUGGCCAAGCGCUUGCACGGGGCUGCGAGGUCUGGAUUAAAAGUUCCGUGCGAUGGGGCUGAGAUAGGUGGAAGAGGCGGCCAGGAGCCUCCUUUAGCUACAGCCCCCUGUGCUGUUGGGAUGGGAGCCGCGGUGGGAGGCUGGGCUCCAGCCGACAUUGCGGGCACCCCUUGCUGAUGGCCUCUUGUUGCACCUUGAUAGGCCGCUGGGAGCUAGGCCUUGCGGCGGAGGAUGGUGGAGUGCUGUGAGGCGUAUUUCGGGUUACUCCUUUCUUUUUUUCCUUUCUUUGAGAAAUGUUAUUAUUUUGAAAAUUUGAGUGCAAGUCGUGAAGUUCAGACAUUGGGAAGACAUCGGUAAAGUAUGACAUCGGUUUUGGACAGGGCCUGCCUCAGACUCGACACCGUCCAUUUUUCGAUUGGCGAAAUCUUAGGCCUUGCCAAGCGGUACGAGAAUGCGGGGGAGUCGGGCGCAGUUCUCGCCGGAGGCGGCGAGGAUAGGCCUAGGCGUCUUGGCGUCUUGGCGAGUGGCUGCUCACAUAAUGCUCCAAAAUGCUGAUAAACCGUCGAUGGAUAGAGGUAAGUCAGCGAUAUUUAUACUAUGGGAUUGAUUACUUGAUUGUGGUCCACCUGUGUUGAUUAGGCUAAGUAUCUCAUGCGCUCCUUCUGAAUCUUGUUAGUAAAACAUCAUUUAUUGAAGCACAAGCAGAACAGCGGGUGGUGCUGAGUGAGAUGAUGGUGCUGGAGGCAGUGAUGAAUGGGUCCGUAGAUAAAGGCAUUCAGACGCUGGAGGGAGAGGGUGUACCACACACACACAAGAAGACAGAGAGCUUCUGGAAAUCGCUGGAGAGAGGUAAUGUAGAGAUAGAGUUAGUCCUUACUACUCAAGUUGUCCACCACGCCGCCGGGAGUCCAGGAUGUCACGAACUUCGUAGGCAGCACCAUAUUCAAGGAGGAGUGGAGGGGGGGGCUUCGGCUACGCCAGGUUCUGUGCAGGGAGAAACAGAGGGAUGGUAAGGCUUAAGGAGCUCAGGUGGUAAUUGGAGUUUGAAAGUAACUGGAUUGAUCUGCUCUAAGAUGGUGAAUGGGCCAAUGAAUCUGAGACUCAGCUUGCGGAAGGGUAGGCGCAGGCGCAUGUCCCGGCUGUACAGCCAGACCCUCUGACCAGGUUGGUAUUCCGGAGCAUCAGAUCGCGAAGGUCGGCUGUCAUCCUACGUAUUUGUAGAGCCUGUUGCAGUUGAUGGUGAGCCCAGACCCUAUCGCUCUCUCGGAACCAGUAGUCGAUGGAGGGGAUGUCCGAGGGUUCACUAUACUAUGGGAAGAGCGAUGGUUGUUAGUUGAGCACGCAUUGGAAUGGAGUGAGUCCGGUGGUGGAUUGUUGCAGGGCCCACACUAUGACGAAUAAAUCUUUGACUCAAAGACUUUCCAGUUAUUGUGUGGACUUGGUAGGCAGAGGGCACCGGAGAUGAAAUUGCCAGCUGACCCAGAAUCGAGGAGGGUGGAAACUGGAAGAGAGAUGUCAGUGGCAGUAAGUGUAACUAUAGUGGUGAGUGGUUUCAUUUGAUACUUUGAAGGGAGAAUGGAACUCAACCAGAGUAGGGUGCCGGCUUGGCCAUGGGCCUGGUGUGCACGGCAGAUGAGGAAGUGGUGGUGUUGUCGGCGGAAGUGCUCACAUGUGAUGGAGAUGCGGGUCCCUGGAAGGGGUCCGUGAGGCUCAUGCUUGUGCCGAUCGGUUUAGGUCCGGACUUCUGUUACGGAAUACCAGGACAGGAGGCUGAAAGUAACAAAAAACACAGUUUAUUGAGACACAAGCAGAGGAGCGGGGUGCUGGAUGAAGGGGGUUCAGAUGCUAGAGGCAGAGGGUGUACCACACACAAACACGAUGAAGACAGGGAGUUUCUGGAGAUAGCUAGAGAGAGGUAAGCAGAUAGCUGGAGAGAGGUAAGCAGAGAUAAAGUUAGUCUUUAGAGUUAGCAUUCAGGUAAGACCUUGUUGCGAACGAGAUCGGAUGCUGACUGAGUGCGUGUGUGGUAUUUGUAGUGCUAAGGUGAUUGCUGGUGGAUGAGGAUCAGGUGGGAGUGAUUAGUAUUCAGUUGAGGAAGUGUGCUGUGAUUGGUAGGAGGUGGAACCUGGUGUGUCUGUAACACUUAUGUUUCGCUUUAAGUUAUUAUAAAAAGGCCUAUAUAAUUAUAUACUGCAAUUGUAUUUAUCCAUUAGAAUUAUAUAUUUUUAAUUAUUGUUCUGUUCUGAUAAAUCUGUUAAAUGGUUCUCUGUGAUGUGCACACCCAGGAACUUGGUGCUGCUCACUCUUUCCACAGUCGCACCGUUGAUGGUCCGAGGAGCGUGCUGAGUGUGCGCUGUCCUGAAGUCAACAUCAGUCUCCUUCAUCUUCUCCACGUUCAGAGAGAGAUUGUUGUCCCUGCACCACCCAGCUAGGCGGCUCACCUCGCUCCUGUAGUUUGUCUCAUCUCUGUUGCUAAUGAGACCCACCACAGUCGUGUCAUCUGCAAACUUAAUGAAGAGGUUGGAGUUGUGUGACGUUGUGCAGUCAUGGGUCAGUAGAGUGAAGAGGAGGGGGCUCAACACACAUCCUUGGGGAGCCCCAGUGUUCAGUGUGAUGGUGCUGGAUGUGUUGCUGCCGACCCGUACUCUUACUUCCGUGUCUUGGGUUAGCGUCAUCACCUGGUCACAGUAGGUGGAGUCUUCUGUGCAGUGGUGCUGUUUUGUUGCUCAAAGCGAGCGAAGAAGGUGUUCAGCUCGUACAGCAGAGAGAUGUUGUUGUCACAGGUCCGUGGUGGGGGCUUGUAGUCCGUAAUGGUCUGUAUUCCCUGCCACAGGCUCCUAGUGUCUCUGCUUUUGUUGAAUUAAUAGGCUAUCCUCCUGGAGUGCUGUCUCUUAGCCUCUCUCAUGCCCCGGGACAGGUUGGUCCUGGCUGUUCUCAGACCCACCUCAUCUCCAGCUCUGAAGGCAGCAUUCCGCAUCUUCAGGAGUCUGUAGACCUCCCCUGUCAUCCACAGCUUCUGAAUGGCGGGGACAGUGAUGGUUUUUGUGACUGUUACAUCAUCAAUACACUUGUUGAUGUAGGCAGUGACAGUCUCUGAGUACUCCUGGAGGUCAGUGGUGUUAUUGCAUUUGGCAGCCUGCUUAAACAUGUCCCAGUCAGUUGUGUUGCAGCAGUCUUGAAGAACCUCUUAUGAUCCUUCUGGCCACAUUUUAAUCUGUUUGUGAACUGGUUUGGCGACUUUAAUGAGCGGUCUGUAAGCAGGCAUUAGCAUGACAGUGAUGUGAUCUGAGGCUCCAAGGUCGGGGAAGGGGAGGGCUUUGUAAGCUCCUCUCUGUGUGGUGUAAACAAAGUUCAAAAUGUUAUUACCUCGUGUUGGAAAGUUAAUGUGUUGGUGUAUUUUUGGAAACACACUCUUUAAGUCAGCAUGGUUGAAAUCCCCAGCUACGAUGAGAAAAGCAUCGGGGUGUGCUGUCUGCUGCUCACUGAUGUACUGGUACAGUUCAUUAAGUGCGUUGUUCCUGUUGCUGUUGAUCGGGGAAAUGUAAACCGAAAUGAGCAGUAUAGCAGUAUAUUCCCUCGGCAGAUAGAAUGGCCGGCACUUAAAAAUCAUAAACUUCACCAGGGGUGAGCAGUGUUUGCACAUCACAACAGUAUCACCGCACCACGUGUCAUUGAUGUAAACACAAAGCCCGCCGCCGCAGGUUUUUCCUCCCUCGACGAGAGCUCUGUCUGCUUGAUAGCACGUCAGCUGGUCGGGCUGAAUAGCGCCAUCUGGAAUCCUGUUGCUGAGCCAUGUUUUCGUGAACACAAAAACACAACAGUCUCUCACAGUCCUCUGAGUUGAACGUAGUAAUCUAGUGUAGUUAACGAGCAUACGUUAGCCAGUAUGAUGGUGCGGAUAGAUGGCUUGUGUGGGUUAGCCAUUAGCCUAGCCCAGAUACCUCCGCGCUUACCCCUCUUCUGCUUCCUCACACAAUGCUUGUGGCGCCUCCGCUGUGGGCGAGAUGCGGUGAUGGUGUAGGCCUCCGUAGCAUACCGAGAUCCCGCAGCUGUUCCGCGUGCUGUUCGGGGAGUUUAACUGUAAAAAUGUGGUUCUGCCGACAUUGAGCAGAAACUCGUGAAUGUGUACGCACUUACAGAUAGGUAGACGCUAUGACGACGUACAAAAGCACUGCGACUCAAAAAACAAAAAACACGAAAACACCAUUCUGUUGGGACAGAGAGAAGCCACUGCGUGUGGAUGCACCACCAUCUUGGUAGAUUCAUAAUAAGGGCUGUGAGAAAAUAAUGAAUAAAAAUAGUACAGCUGCUGUGAGUACAGACAGCAUAUUUCAAUCCAGUAACAUGACAACACACCGUUCCUCACAGAAAAACACUCCUCUGUCAGCCACUGAUAAUGGAAAGUAAAACUAUAGUGGUUGGAUUUAUUCACGCACAUUAAAAAUAGUUGUCAAAUCACAGUCUCCUCAUAUCGAAGCAUCUAAUCUUCGACUAUUCGAGGUCCCCCUUAGCUCACAUAAACACAGUCUAGUCAAGUCAAGUGACCUUUAUUUAUAUAGUUAACAAUACAGAUUGUCAAAGCAGCGUUACAUGACUCCAUUAAACAGGAAAAUAAUGUGUCAGUAAUACAAAAUGACAUUAGUAAACAUUAAAUUUUCCAGUUAAAGGCAUCAUUGAAUUCAGUGAUGUCAUCAUCCAGUUCAACUCAGUUUAAAUAUUAUUUGUGAAAUCAAGUCAAUGAUAUCGCUGGAAAUUAAGUGUCCUCAUUUGACAAUGGUAUCAUCAAUGUUAUUUAAACAACAAAAGAAAAUAAGAAAAUCACUCACUGCUCUUGAUGACUCAAGGGGCAUUAUCUGUAGUGAUAUACUGAUAUACUCUUAUCUGUAGUGAUAUACUGACAACAGAAUGCCAGGUGAAUCCCAGUUAAAUAGCUGUACAGCAUUAUUUGCUAAAUGUUUUAUCAAACAAUAUUAGUGGUGGGGCAAUAAAAAGUUAUGCGUGUAUUAGGGGUGACCCCAAAUAGUCGAUGAUUCGCUGCUUCGAUUCGAGGAGCCUGAUUCGACUACCAAUCUAAUAGUCAGAUAUUCGCGGGCUGUUAUGAUUAUGCCAUUCUGACUAUAUGGGGGAGCUCAAAUGUCUGAUUUCACAUAGAAUUUGCAGUUUUCUCCCAAUAAGUGAAUAUACAGCCUAUUAUGAUAAAGCCGUGAAUAAGAAUCUGAAACGAAAGAAGCUUCAAAUAAAUAUUUUAAAGUGCAUGAAUAAAUACAACCACCCCUGAGGAUUUAUGUUUCACUUUCCCUAAUCCAUGACCGACAGAGGAGCAUCUUGGCGGCAGGGAUUUAAAACUUUACUAAGACUCAAAGUGACACAGGCAGAGACUUCAUUUUUUCGAUCAGGUAGGGAUCAAGUGAUUUCAAAACAUUUCAGCCAGUUUAUAUAUAUCGUGGAUAUAUUAUUUACCUGAUAUAAAAUGCAUUUGGUUGAGUCAUGCAGUUCAUUGUAUCACUACGGUGAUAUUUCUUCAGCGCACAGCACGAGCAGGUCAAACUACAAUGCAGAAUAUUAAUAACUAUGACUGGACUGUCACACACAUACCAUUAUAAUGAGAACACCAUUAUAAUAAAACACUGUGAAUUUUUAGAGUUUAGCUGUCAUUUUUCUUCACAUUGUUUCGUGAAGAACACGUCCACAAAAGGAGUUCAUUCAGAGCCCCGCAGACACGUUCAUUUGCAUUCGGGCUCUUUUUGUAGAUAGCCUAUAAGUCCUAAUAUUAACAUUAUGUUGUAUAAAUAACGAAGCAUAUUCUACAUGAAAUUAUGAAUUUAAUCCCAUUGAUUAAAAACUUGCUAUCAAAUGCUCACUCUACUGGUCAUCUUCAGCACGCACAACUCUUAGUGUUUGAAUCUUAGGCCUGUUUGAACUGUUAGGGUUACGCUGACGUUUAGUGUUAACUAUCUUUUAAUCAAAACACAAAAACAUUAUUUACCCCGUUUGUAUCUGUUACACAUUACACAUUGGCAUUUGUUACACAUUUUCCCUGUGUGUUAACAUCAGUUAUUAUGACUGUCGAAUGUCUGACUUGACUCAAUGUAGUUUGCCCCGCCCCCAAUCAUAUGAUUCGACUAUUAGUCGAAUAUCAGCAAGAUCUGAAAAUUCUGUUUCAACUAUGAAAAUCCUUAGUUGGGGACAACCCCUAGUGUGUAUAUUCUCUCUUCCUUGUAGGGACCUUUUUAAUGCUGCUUUUUUGUCAUGCUGGUCAGAAUGAAGAUCAGCAGGAUGAACUAGUUUUCAGUAUUGAGCUUGCUCUGACAUCUCAAGAUAUUGCUGAGGUCACACAUCUUGAGGUCACUUAAUCUUGCAGAAUCCAUGGAGCACAGUGAUAAGGACCCACUUCCCUUGAGAGAUGACAAUGGAAUUGUUCUGCUCGGAGAGCAGAGGUCCUGAAAACUAAGCAGAAAUUAAAAUAUGCACUCUGUCCUCAUUUUUUAAAUACACACACCUACUGUAAUGAGUAGACAGACUCUGGAAUUGGAAUGCCGGUAGAUAAAUGGUAGGAACACACAAACACAGGAACACUACGAGGAGACAAAGGAGAUCGGGAGACUUGGAAUGAUAGUUCAGGUCAGUUGCUUAGCAUGAGCAAUGAGUCCUUUCCACAAUGGAGACCAUACAAUGUGGUGCUGGUGAUUAAUAAAUGACGGUCAUGUGCGGGUGAUCAGAACUCCGGUGAUUGGGAUUGUUGUUGAAUGGGAGAGCCUGGUGUUUCCGCGACACCUACAUGCUGUACUGUAUAUUUAAAAGGUCCAAUUACACUGUAUGCACCAAACAUAUUUUGCCGUUUUAAGCACCAAACCAUGAAGUGUCUCAGGUUUCCUCCACUGUUCCUGAAUUGAUUGUUUGUUUUGAAAUGUCUUCAGGUUUCAUUUUAAAUGUGGUUUGUGAUUUUCUGGAAGGUGCUUUAGGAUUUGAGUUCCCCCUUGUUUCCUCCAUAACGGUUUAGGUGUAAUGUCCUUUACAGAGACAUUUGCUAGUGUGUUCUGUUCAAAGUUUUAAAAUAAUAACUGUUUCAUCUGAUCUGAUGGCUUUUCAAGAAUAAAAAUUAAGAUGUCCAAAAACAAUAAAAGAUGCUUAGUGAUAAAUCUUUUAUUGAUCUGUCUUGAUAAACAUAGUUUCCCUGAUUUAUUAGUCUGGGCAGGACAUAUUGAAGUAAAAAAAAAAAAGGAAAUGUACAUUUGAUGACUGUAUUGAAAACUAAUUCGAAAAAAUCUCCCCUUAAGAUUUAAUAUGAAGCACAGUGAUAAAUGUAGCAUGGCUAAUGGUGCAUAGUUUAAAAAAGGGUGUAAUUUAUGGUGUUGAAUGGCACUGGUGCUUCCUCCUCGUCUGCUCUUCAGUGCUGUUUAUAAUGUCAAGGCUGCUGAACCAUGAACCAUAUUUUAAAGGAUACUCUACCCAAAAGUGAAAAUUCUUUCAUUUAGCCACCCUAAUGUCUUCCUAGAAGUAUAUUACUCUCUUUCUUCAGAUCAAACUAUAAGUACAUGUAAUGCAAGUGGAUUGCAUGACGCAAAACCUAAUUUCAUUUGCUUUUGAGUCACUGUUUGGGCCCGACCUGCUCUACAAAACUAGAACAGCAUGUUUAUUAUGGAGUAGCAUAUAGUUAGGAAUGUUUGACUAAGUCUUAACUAAUCUAAGAUGGACUGAUCUUCAAUUCUGAGCUCAUCCUAAUGUUUAAGUGAUGUCUGUUCUCGUCAUUGUUUCCAUACACCUUUUUAUUUUACACAGCAGCCUUGCAGAGUCCCUUUUUUCCUUUUCUUUUUCCCAACCUUUUAAUUUGACUUCUUCCUCUUUUAAUCUAUUCAGUAUCUGGCUCGGGCCUCCCAUGGACCUGUUUUUAAUUCCAGAGGACUUAAGGAGUGCUUGAAGAUAAUUUCAAUGCAUCCCAGCUGCUUCUACCUCUCCAGUAUUUCCCUUCAACACACUUCAGUCUUAGCAAAGGCCUUUGUUAGCUGUGAACUUAUUUUUCUUCUUGAAUUUGGAAAAAAUUAUGAUGGGUGCCCUUUUGUCAAUUGGUGGUUAAACAGAUGUUUUUAGUCUCAGGUCACUUUAAUCACUUUAAGCACUGGCUUUAAUUUGCUUGAUUGAGCUAAUAUCUUUUUGGAAAACUCUGAAUACUCAAACACAAACAUUGCUUGAAAAGCAUCUGCUAAUUUAGUUAGAAUAGGUAGAAUUGAUUUAUCUUUGCAUUAUCCACAAAUGUAAACUCUCAGUACAUUUCAGAAUGGAAUUAAUAAUGAUCAGCUGUCUAGUCAAAAAGCUUGUUAUUGUGGAAAAUAGACUUCCCGUCUAACCCUUACACUAUGCAUCUUACGAAUCUUCCAAUCCCCCAGACAGCACACAGAGACUCACUCACUGGCUAAUUCAUAUUGCACACAGAAAUGGUUAGAGUAAUUGCCGGUUCAUGGUCAGAAUAAAUUGCCAGGGACAUCUACUUUACAACCUUUAUCUCGUCAAACUAUGAAGAAUAUCUGUGUUAAACAGCACACAGGUGGCCAUUGCAUGGCUCUGUGCCAUGUUAUUUAAGUGCUUAUUCUUUUGUCACACAUGCACAUGCUUUAUAUUAAAUUAGUGCCUCCUAAUAGAAAAACAUUUGUUGGUGAUUUUAUUAUUAUUAUUAUUUAUUAAAAAUAAAAUUUUAUUUUA